UUUAACAAUUAUGAUGUACUUUUCACUUGGCCAAGUCUCAGUACAAUUUAACAAUGAAUCAUACAAUUAAAGUUUGACAAAUAUGCCUCAGUAUAUUAUCAAGCAGUUAAUCAAACUUAAUUAUACAGGUCCUGUGCGAUUUUUCUAUUGAAUGACUAAACAUUUUCUGAGAUUCUUUGUCUGAAUACUUAACCUCAUUCUCGACUCCUCAUGUCCCUAAUAUCCCAACAGUAUAUAUCCAUCUCUGUGGUUAACCUGAAGUAUAUCCCAAUCCAAAAUAAUGCAUCUCUCAGCAAUCAAUAAAAAUAAGAGUUCCAAAAUACAAGCAGCCAGAAUACCUAGACCAUGCAGCUCUCAAUCUAUAGUUAACAAUCAUGCUACCAUUUCCUGCAAACAUUUUUUGAGAACACCCAAUAAUUACUUGUAAAUUCAAGUCUAUAUCUAUUGUCAUAAUAGAUGUUAUAUACCUUAAGCUGGGCACACACAGUGACUCCAAAGUACAUAUUACUGGGGAAAGGUACAUUUCCUAUAUAAAUUAGGAGAAAGUUAAACUUCACUGCUUUGGAAGUAGUAUUCUCACCUAUCAGUUAUGUUAAGUUAAAGA
rnacentral:lncRNA from 1 species